UACGUAGGGUCCGAGCGUUGUCCGGAAUUACUGGGCGUAAAGAGCUCGUAGGUGGUUUGUCGCGUUGUUCGUGAAAACUCACAGCUCAACUGUGGGCGUGCGGGCGAUACGGGCAGACUGGAGUACUGCAGGGGAGACUGGAAUUCCUGGUGUAGCGGUGAAAUGCGCAGAUAUCAGGAGGAACACCGGUGGCGAAGGCGGGUCUCUGGGCAACAACUGACGCUGGAGGAGCGAAAGCGUGGGGAGCGAACAGG
rnacentral:rRNA from 1 species